CAUUCAGGGACAAACACGAGGAGAGGGUAUUCUGAAAGCCCUUGUUACAUUUUUUGCCAAUAACAAUAUUGACUGGUCAAAUCUGUUAUCUGUGUGCACUGACCGCGCCCCAAACAUGCGAGGGAAGGAGAAGGGACUCAUAGGCCUGAUGAAAGAGAGGAUAUUCCCAAAUUAGUCAUGUUUCAUUGUAUCAUUCAUCAGGAAGCACUUGUGGCUAAACUCAAAGACUGACUUACAGAAUGUGAUGCAGCAAGUCGUGCGCGUGGUGAACAUUAUUAUUGCGUGGGCACGGAAUCACCUGCAAUUCCGUGAGUUGCUGGAGGAAACCCAGACAGAACACGGCGACUUGAUAUUUCACAAUGAGUCAAAUCCGGUCCUGCACUCAGUGGAAGAGUUGACCUCUUCUCCAACACCAUUCAUGAUGAGCCUGUCCUGCACUGAAGCCUACAGCAUAUACACACCUCAACUAAAGUCAAGCCUCUGAACACCUCAACUCAUCCUCAUUCAAUCGCUGCUGUAAUCCCGUCCCAACACUGUUGCCGAGGCACUGAUCCAGCAGGUCUUCUGGCACUACGGCCUUCUGGAGGACAUGGCCCCUGACGUGGCCCCCAAUUCAAGUUGCGGGUAUGGAGAGCCUUCAUGGAGAAGCUGGGGGCCGCGGCCAACCUCCCAUCCAGGACCUGAGCCCUAGGACCAUGCCCCAGGACUACCUGACAUGAUGACUCCUUGCUGUCCCCAGUCCACCUGGCCGUGCUGCUGCUCCAGUUUCAACUGUUCUGCCUUAUUAUUAUUCAACCAUGCUGGUUAUUUAUGAACAUUUGAACAUCUUGGCCAUGUUCUGUUAUAAUCUCCACCCGGCACAGCCAGAAGAGGACUGGCCACCCCACAUAGCCUGGUUCCUCUCUAUAUUUCUUGCUAGGUUUUUGCCUUUCUAGGGAGUUUUUCCUAGCCACGGUGCUUCUACACCUGCAUUGCUUGCUGUUCGUGGUUUUAGGCUGGGUUUCUGUACAGCACUUUGAGAUAUCAGCUGAUGUACGAAGGGCUAUAUAAAUAAAUUUGAUUUGAUUUGACUGGAAGCUUCAAAAGGAGGGUGGUGCUUGGAAUCAUUGUUCUUCCUCUGUCAACCAUGGUUACCUGCAAGGAAAUACAUGCCGUCAUCACUGCUUUGCACAAAAAGGGCUUCACAGGCAAGGAUGUUGCUGCCAGUAAGACUGGUCAACACUGCAAAUAUUGACUCUUUGCAUUAACUUCAUGUAAUUGUCAAUAAAAGCCUUUGACACGUAUGAAAUGCUUGUAAUUAUACUUCAGUAUUCCAUAGUAACACCUGACAAUAUCUAAAGACACUGAAGCAGCAAACUUUGUGGAAAAUAGUAUUUGUGUCAUUCUCAACUUUUGGCCACGACUGUAUGGUGACAAAUGAUGUGUUAUUGAUGA